AUGAGUCCCUGUAAAUAGAUCUGGACGUCGUGCUGUUGGCGUUGUCAACCCAGAACGCCUGACUGGUCGUCAGUUCAUGGACUACAUCCCACCAACAGAG